UACAAAGUGGGCCUUAGCCCACAAAAACGUGAAUAGCAUCAGACAAGGAAAAAUAAACAAAAUAACAGGGAUUAGGGUCCUUAAUCUUUUAGGAGUGAAAUUAUUGAACCAAAAAUUGGGAAAAAUCCAACAGAGCUUUAGAGCUCCUGCGAAACAGAGAAAGCAACCAAGAGUUUUGUGCAAUAGGAAUUUUUCUUUUAUCAAAAAGCAUUCUAAGCAUACUCAACCAAUUGAAACAGAGAAGUAAGAAGCUCUUAUUGUUUCCGAUCUCUUUCAGCCAAGGAGGGUAGUUGAAGAGGUGAGACGAAGUGAUCGAGGUGACGUAUUUGGUAUUCCUGCACGAGUACUGUGAGUAGUAAUCUUACCGCAAUUUAUUUUUCUAUAACCUGCAUGGUUUAUACAUGAUUUUGAAAACAAGAUGUUUUACCGAACAUUUAAAUUGCAUGUGGGACAAGUCCUUUACUUGGUAUAAUACUGAACAAUUUACUUGAGAUGUUUACAGUUAUUUAAGAUGUUCUCACCGUUACUAGACAUGUUUUACGAAGGGCUCCACACAGUGAUACAGAUUACAUGAUCCUUUCUUGAAAAUCUCCCAAACAUAAAGAUUUGAUAUGACAGAGUGCUUAUUGAGUUUAUUGCCGAAUUAUUAAAUUGAUUUUUAUUACAGGAAACGCAUGAUGAGGAUGAUUAUUGUUUAUUGUUUCUGAAAGGGCAUUCUUAAGAUACUUUCUUAUACUGGCAUGUUUUCUGACUUGUCCCUAUUAAAAACUAUUAUGGUUAAGUGUUCUUACUCACUGAGCUAGCGUCUCACUCCCCGCUAUAUUUUUUACAGAGACAACAGUUUAAUCAUGCAAGGAUUUUGUUAGCUAGAGCGUACGAGUUGGCAAUUAUGGUGAGUCCCGCAUUGCUUCGCGUGGGCAAAGAGUUUAUUUAAUGGUUAUUGUCCUUUUCUUUAAAACUCUUAGUGUUGCUCCAUAGUCAUUUUAAUAGUGCCAUGUGUAUAAAUUAUCGUCUUCGACUUGUUCACUAGAUCGUACUUUCUUAUCGUAUGUUAGAGAUAGAUUUAGUAUCACAGACUUACAAGUGGUUGAUUAAUAGUGAUGGAGAUCUGACUGGGUAGUCGAUGAAGAUUAUGAGUUGUUUUGUUGGAUAUUGGUUGGUUUUGUGGCUACUUUCUGAGUCAGGUGAUGUGUGGAUAGUCCAAAAAUAGGGGAAACUCUAUCCGAUUUUAUGUAAAAUAUCGAUGAGGCUUACUUGGUGGCA